rnacentral:lncRNA from 1 species
AAAAAAAAAGAAAAAAGAAUUCUUUGAAUAAUGGAACUAUGUCUGAGUUUCAGAUGUAGAAGUUGUUCAAGGUCAGUUACACUUCUUCAUUGGCAAGGCAGUUUGGUCCUUUUUAACCACCAGUUUUAAUAUUUUGCAAAGCUUUAUACACUACAAGUUUUUUUUUUUUUUUUUUUUUUUUUUUAAACACACGUUCUGCAAGGAAAAUCAAAUGGUUGAACAGAGCCCACUCUAUGUAAUGGCUUCCAGGUGUGGUCACAACCACAAAUGAUCUGGUCAAGAGUAGCAGCCAUUUACUCCUGAGAAGCAGUGCCUGGCCUUGUGUACUCCUAGUUCAUUGCAGAGAGGAAAUAUAACAGUAUUUAAUCAUGUUGGGAACAUGCCUGUUACCCAUUGCCACCUCUUAGCUGAGACUGGUAGCGUUCCAGGGGAAGGUCAGCGGUUUUCUUGAGGAAUGCUACCUCCGGAGACAAAUCAUCUCCUUUUCCUGGGUGGUGGAAGGAUGCUUUGGUGCAGAGAAGUGUGUUGCUGACCAGACCUCCUCCAGAAUCUGACCGGCAUCCCAGAGACAUCAGCGAAGAUUGUGCCAUCUCUCACCAUCUGUGUAUAAUUGUGGAUAACCUAUUAAGAGUGCAGCGGUGGCAAUUACAGGUGGGACUGGAAGCUUUACUUUUUACUAGGGUUGUCUAGCAUUUCCCAUUAUAAGACUAUUUUCUGUUCAAUUUAAUAACUUUCUAGGAUUUGAACUCAUUUUCCAUGCUGGGUGACUGCCUCCAGCUCGUGUGUGUGAUUUUUUUAUUUUUUUGAAAAGGAGUGAAAAUGCUUUUCCUUAAGGAAAUAAUGAUAGUGACCCUUUUCCCUUAGAG